AAAGAGCUUGAAAGGAUACCAAGGGAUACCUCUGCUCUCCUUGGUGGGAUCAAGAAUCAGGUGGGUCUGAAUUCCAAUGCUGGUUCUGCUGCUAACUGAUCAUGUGACAUCAGGAGAACUGUGGAAUAACCUGGGAAAAAUUAGGACACAAGCACUCUUGAAUUCAAAGAUUUUAAUGGAACAUAAUGACCUCUGCUCUAUAGCAUCUGGACUUGAAUCAGUAUUUUAUAAUGGAAAUAUUGAUAUUCUGCCAGCAACCGAGAACUUAUUUCAAUAUCUUAGUCAAAAAUCACCCAUCAGUGAUUGGGAAAAACUUUUUUUCACUCUUAUUGAAAACAAUGGUUUCAAACUGCUGUGGUUUGAAUGUGUGCCACAGAAGUCAUAUGUUGAAAACUUGAUCCUCAAUGGUGUUUAGGUCAUCGGGACAGAGGCCUCAUGAAUGGAUUAAAUAUGGUGAUUGCUGGAGUGUGUUCCUUAUCAUGGGAGUGGGCUUAUUAUAAAAUUGAGUUUGGCCCUUUCUUGCCCUCUCUUGCUAUCCCUCACCCUCCCUCACCCAUGUGAUGCCUCCUGCCAUGUUAUCACACUGUAGAAGGGCCCUCACCGGAUGUGGGCCCUCUACAUUGAGCUUCCUAGCCAAAUAAAUUUUUGUUCUUUGUAAAUUACCCAGUCUGCAGUGUUCUGUUAUAGCAGC
rnacentral:lncRNA from 1 species